UAUCAUUAAAAACAUUUUCAUCCAUUUUAUAGCAUAUGAAUGAUUGAAUUAUAUCUCUGUUGUUUCAAGGGGAAAAGCAUGAACUGUUUAUGAAUUCCAUUUUACAGAUUAGACAAUGAAGACUUCACAAUAUUGUUAUUUCUGCAGCAUGAGAAACAAAACGGGCAUUCAAACUGGGAAUAAAUAACGUAAAGAAACACAGUGCUCCAAGACUUCAGUCUAAAACUGAGAGCAACUAAACAACU